CCUACGGGAGGCAGCAGUGGGGAAUAUUGCACAAUGGGGGAAACCCUGAUGCAGCGACGCCGCGUGAGUGAAGAAGUAAUUCGGUAUGUAAAGCUCUAUCAGCAGGGAAGAAAAUGACGGUACCUGAGUAAGAAGCCCCGGCUAACUACGUGCCAGCAGCCGCGGUAAUACGUAGGGGGCAAGCGUUAUCCGGAUUUACUGGGUGUAAAGGGAGCGUAGACGGCAGUGCAAGUCUGGAGUGAAAGGCGGGGGCUCAACCCCCGGACUGCUCUUGAAACUGUACGGCUGGAGUGCAGGAGAGGUAAGUGGAAUUCCUAGUGUAGCGGUGAAAUGCGUAGAUAUUAGGAGGAACACCAGUGGCGAAGGCGGCUUACUGGACUGUAACUGACGUUGAGGCUCGAAAGCGUGGGGAGCAAACAGGAUUAGAUACCCCGGUAGUC
rnacentral:rRNA from 1 species